rnacentral:rRNA from 1 species
CAAUAGCGUAUAUUUAAGUUGUUGCAGUUAAAAAGCUCGUAGUCGGAUUUUGGCUGAGAACGAUCGGUCCGCCGUUAGGUGUGCACUGAUUGGUCUCAGCUUCCUGGUGAGGAGGUGUGCUUCACGGCCACUUAGUCACCGUGGUUACUUUGAAAAAAUUAGAGUGUUCAAAGCGGGCUUACGCUUGAAUAUAUUAGCAUGGAAUAACACCAUAGGACUCCUGUCCUAUUUCGUUGGUCUCGGGACGGGAGUAAUGAUUAAGAGGAACAGUUGGGGGCAUUCGUAUUUCGUUGUCAGAGGUGAAAUUCUUGGAUUUAUGAAAGACGAACUACUGCGAAAGCAUUUGCCAAGGAUGUUUUCAUUAA